rnacentral:rRNA from 1 species
CCUACGAGAUGGGGAUAACUAUUAGAAAUAGUAGCUAAUACCGAAUAAAGUCAAUUGAGUUGUCAAUUGAUGAAAGGAAGCCUUUAAAGCUUCGCUUGUAGAUGAGUCUGCGUCUUAUUAGCUAGUUGGUAGGGUAAGGGCCUACCAAGGCUAUGAUAAGUAACCGGCCUGAGAGGGUGAUCGGUCACACUGGAACUGAGAUACGGUCCAGACUCCUACGGGAGGCAGCAGCUAAGAAUCUUCCGCAAUGGGCGAAAGCCUGACGGAGCGACACUGCGUGAACGAAGAAGGUCGAAAGAUUGUAAAGUUCUUUUAUAAAUGAGGAAUAAA